CUCUAAUGGACCCUACUUCUAAAUAAGAUCCUGGGGCUUAGGACUUCAACCUGUGAAUUUUGGGGGGAAUACAAUUCAGUCUAUAACAUCUGCUGGGUGCAGAUAACUACAAAGCCCCAGGGAUUCCAGAACCACAGGUAAAAGGAGUCUGAAUUUCUGAAUUGCCUCAUGGAAGAAGAGCCACCAACUGACCAGGAAGCAUACUUUGGACUAUCCUGCCAUGGGCUUCACAACACAGGCUGGAAACCUGGAAACUUGAUCCUGCUGGACAAGAGAGUGGGGCAUAUUGGAAACGAUAAGAGAAACAAAGGAUUUGAAAAAGGAAACUGUAGAAAUGUGCUCUGGAGGUGAUUCUGAUUCCUGGCCAAGGCUGAGAACCACUGAUCUAUAAUAUCUACCCAAAAGGAAGGUUUAAAGCCAUGCUAUCAAAGCAUGGAUGAGCUCAUUAAAGAUGUAAUAUUAAGAAG